AGUGGCAGUGGCGGGGUGAGGUGAGAGAGAGUGAGACUGUGAGAGUGAGAGACCACUCCAUCUCUCCUUUUACUCUCCUCUCCCCUCCCGCUCGCUUUUUUCAGCGGGGGGAGAGAGGCCGCGGCGGCAGCUUGCAGCACCAGAGAGAGAGAGAGAGCGAGCGAGCGAGCAAAGGCCAACAGAUCACAGCUAGCUCCGCCCCGCCCCGCCUACCAGAGUUUUCAAUUUCACCGCGACGUCAAAAGAAAGCAGCUUUUGGUGGUAAUCUCUUGGAGCAUUGCAGCGGCGAGCGAGAUCUGCCACGACGCGCCAGCUCCUGCAGCGGCCCGGCGGCCCCGGCCUGCCACUGCUACUCAUCUGCGCCGCUGGCAGAGGAGCUGCCGCUACCGCUGCCGCCGCACCCAUUGCCUGCCCCUGCAGCCUGCCCAAGCAGCAAGCACAAAGCCCCAUCCCGCAUCACCCUCAGGCUACUCCAAACUACUGCACCGUCCACUGUCGCCCGCGCGCCUCAGCCACGCAGUCUUAUGCAUCAAUGCAUGCCCUAGCAUUCUGCGGCUUCCCCCGUGCGGCGCCCACCGCUGGAGAGUAGAGACACGCGGAUAGCACCAAGACCAGCGCCGGCUACGUAGCUGCUGCUCGGUGUCUCUUCAGACUCUUCUUACUAGGGGGGAAGGAGGAGGACCAAGGCAGGCAGUCGGCAGCGAGGAGGUGAAAAGGGCAGCAGCUGCCCGUGCCGUAGGAGAGGCCGGGCGGCGGCCGCGUACGUCCGUUGCAGCGCGCGCGCGCGCGCUCUGGCCUCCGUGCGAUACCACGCGACGCUGAAUCGCCGAUCGACAUGACGCUGGAGGCUCUGUGCCCGACCAGCAGCGACGUCCUCGUCUACGACACCUUCAACGCCGCCGCCGCAUGCGCCGCUGCUUCUGCGGGGACCUUCCUUUUCGGCAAUGCACCACCGGUGGAGGUGCCGGCGGCGGCGGCGGCCCAGGCGAACGGGGAGAACAGCGUGCAGCAGGGGCGGAGGAAGCGGCGGCGACGGCAGAGGAGCACCAAGAACGCCGAGGACGCCGAGAGCCAGCGGAUGACCCACAUCGCCGUCGAGCGCAACCGCCGCCGCCAGAUGAACGAGUACCUCGCCGCGCUCCGCUCGCUCAUGCCGGACUCCUACGUCCACCGGAGCGAUCAGGCGUCCGUGGUCAGUGGCGCAAUCGAUUUCGUGAAGGAGCUGGAGCAGCAGCUGCAAUCCCUGGAGGCCCAGAAGCUGGCGCUGAAGCGGCAGCUGCAGCAGCAGCAGCAGCGCAGCGUCACGGCCGCGAUACGCGACGACGCGGCGCAGCCGGCUCGAGGCCGUGAUGACAUCGGCGCGGGCGCGGGCGGGGACGCCGCGGCGCGCAGCGAGGUGUCGGCGCCGGAGCCAGACCCGCCUCCGUUCGCGCGGUUCUUCCGGUACCCGCAGUACGCGCGGCGGCACGCGGCGGCGCGGGAGGACGCCGGCGCGGAGGAGACGAGCCGCGCCUCCGCGGUGGCGGACGUGGAGGUGGGCGUGGUGGUGGACGCGCACGCCAGCCUGCGCGUGAUGGCGCCGCGGAGGCCCGGGCAGCUUCUGCGGAUGGUGGCCGGGAUGCAGGCGCUCGGCCUCGCCGUGCUGCACCUCAACGUGGCCACCGCCGCGGUCGACGCGACGGCGCUCUACACGCUCAGCCUCAAGGUACGACGGCGGCGCACACUACCGGACGGAUGGGUAGCUAGCAAAGCGACGGUCCCUUUCUCCUUCCGUCCACGGACACGGACCAACCGUCGUCGUCAAAGCCUCGUUGCUUGUCACACACUGGCUCGUUUUCUUGUGCCUGAAAUGGUGCUAUCGCCGUGCUCUAACAUGCACUUUGGUCACCACCGGUGCCACUGCCCCUGAGCAAGUACGUGACCAAAAUCCUCUGUCCUUUUCUUUUUUACAACAAAAAGCUCUCUGAUGCGGAGAUCGCUAGAUUACGUCCACCGAAACAAAGGGACAUGAUGCCAGAUAGUAUAGCAUCCCGUCCACCGAAAAUCCGAGAGAGUAGAGUGUAGAGGCCAUUUGUAUGACACGGCACCGCACUAGCAGCAGAGGCGUCCAAACGCAGUAGCACCGCAGCACCAUUGUCCAUCGCACUGACUUUGUGCCUGCUGGGCCAGAUCUCCAAAUACAGAGACAUGUAGAACACAGUACACACCACAGUGGCUUCCCCUGCGAGCCCAGCACGACUGCACCACGAGCCAUGGGCGCUUGCUUUUGACCGGGAGAGAGAGAGAGAGUCCAGUCCAGAGCUCGAAAGCUGUUUGCUGCGUUUGGCAAGCUGUAGCACUGGGCUUUUGACGUCCCUGUCUGAACACCUUCAAAUUCGAGCAGAUAGGAUAGGAGUACAGUAAAAAAAAGAAAAGGCUGUGUAUUUUCACCGUUCUCUUUUUUUUCGCACUAAAGGCUACGUAAAGGAGAAAAGGACGAUCAUGGAGAAUCCUCUCUUGGCUUGGCGAGCAGAGCAGGCACCUGGCCCGUCGUCCAUUGACAUGGCGAGGAGAUCGAUGUGGACUGCAGAGAAAGAUUGUGUUGUGUGCCGCUGCCCUGCCUUUUUCUUUUCUAGUGCUGCGUGUUUCAGGACAGCAGAGACUGACUGCUGAGUAAGCUAUAUGUGUUUGUGUGCCCCGGAGCCGAGCCGGACCCCUCAACGUAGCAGGUGGAGGAAGGGUGCGCCCUGGCGACGGCGGAGGAGAUCGCCGCGGCGGUGCACCACGUCCUAUGCAUCAUCGACGCCGAGGCGACGCCGCAGAGGCUGCUCGCUGCCGGAGCACCAGGGACAGGGCAGCCGGACGUCUAGCUAGUCAGGAUGAUUCAGGACGAGGUCUUCCCGGCGUAACGGGGCGGCAUGGGCUGCGCGGGGUGUCUGCUUCCGUUUCUUGUAAAGUGCAGUGGCGUGCGUGCGUGGCUGGCCAGCACACGAGAGCCUGAUGGCGUAGCGUAGGUACAGAGUAUGUAACGGGCAAUAACACGCAGGUUCGUGUCUGGACCUGUGGUCUCUCGUUCGUGCAUGCCUAUGCGUGCCCUUGUGUUUGCGUGUGACGGGAAUUGGAAUUGAGGACGGGAAGCAGGAAUGCAGGAACAGGGAAGGGAUCGGACGUUGUUUU